AACUGACUCGCUCCUAAGUGAGUUCUGCGUGCUGUGGGCUGAAAAUUGCAUAUAAAAGCCAAUAAUAUAAGUUAUUACCAUGUAAAGAAGCUCAGUUAGUGCAAUUAAAUUGUUUUUUUUUUUGGUGUGCGUACCAAGCGUUGAAGCAAUAAGACGUUUUUGGAAUUUUUUCUAGCGUCUUUGCCUCUUCUCCACUGCAACAAUAACGGGUCUUUAAUGUAGCAUAAGCAACAACACUAACUAAAUAAAAUAGAAAAACAAAAACUAUGUAAAUAAUCUGCAAAAAAAGAAAAA
rnacentral:sRNA from 1 species